GCUCUUCCUACUAUUUCUGGAAGGCUUGUUGAUGCUUUUGGUCUUUCGUACUGUAGAUAUGACAUUGAUGUCCAUAUCCAUGGAGAUAUUCUUCUACAAGAGACCCUAUUGAUGCAAGAGUUCUGUGCUGCCAACGUGAUGAAUGUUAAUUGCCAUGAUCUCAGCUACCAUCUGAAAUUGGUGAUAUUUACAUGCUACCACCUGCAACCUUGUUGACGACAUGGAUUCCUGCUGUUUUCUUUAUCGUGUUCAUGAGCUUUCCUAUGCUAUUCCAAUUGGUUUGAAGUCCAUCUUGAUGCCUUAUGUUAUGUUUUGCUCCUGGAUAAGGUGUUGAUGUUGAUGUCCAUGUUCUGUCCUGCCACCUGAGACCACAUUGAGGAAAUCAUGUUGAUGUCACUGUUCUUUGCUGCAUCUUCUAACCAUGUUGAUGUUCAUCAUCCAACCUACUGUCCAAACUUUGUUGAUGUUACUGAUCUAUGUUGUAACUGUCAACCAUGUUGAGGUUAAUGAACUUUGCUACCACCUGUAAUCAUAUUGAUGUCUGCAGUGUACAGUGUCAUCAGAAACAGUGUUGAAGUCAUUUGUCCAUACUGCUUCCUUAGACCCAGUUCAAGCAACCAUGUUGAUGUGAGUGAUUCUCGCUGCCUCUCUUAACCUUGCUGAUGUCCAUGAUUCGACUUGUCAUCUGAAACUUUGUUGAUGUCACUGAUCUUUGCUGUUGCUGUCAAUCAGGUUUAUGCUACUGAAACUUCCUACCACUUGUAACCAUACUGCUGUCUCAAGUCUGUUAUCAUCUGUGACAAUUUUGAAAUCAAUGGUAUAUACUACCACCUGAGACCCACUUCAGGAAACCAUCCAUGUUGAUGUCAUUUAUCUUUGUUCCCUGUUUUGACCAAGUGGAUGUCCAUUAUCUGACUUAACAUCUGAAAUUAAGUUGAUGUCACUCAUUCAUGUUGCCGCUGAUAACCAUGUUUAUGGCCAUAAGCUUCGUUGGAAUCUUAGACCUUGUGAAUGUCCAUUGUCCAUGUUGCCACCUGAGUCCAUGAUGAUGACCAUGAUGAUUUUAGUCUGUGCUGCUCUCAGCCAUAAUGUUGAUGUCUCUGAUUGGUGCUGCUACUGUGGACUAGGUCAAUAUGAAUGAUCUAAGCUGCCAACAGAAACUAUUUUGAUAUCAUUAAGCCAUCCUUGUACUGGAGACCACGUUGAAAUCUUUGUCCUUGAUGCCACCAAAAACUAUGUUUAUGUUCAUGCUCUGGGCUGCAUACUGAAGAACAGUUGGAUAUCCAUGACCCAGCUGCUGAUGGAGACUGUGUUGAUGUCUGUGGUCAGUAUUGCCACAAGAAAGCAUCCUGAUAGUGAUCUGUGAUGCCUCCCUCAUACACGUU